rnacentral:rRNA from 1 species
GCUUGAAUACAUUAGCAUGGAAUAAUGAAAUAGGACGUUUGACCCUAUUUUGUUGGUUUCUAGGAUCGACGUAAUGAUUAAUAGGGAUAUUGGGGGCAUUAGUAUUCAAUUGUCAGAGGUGAAAUUCUUGGAUUUAUUGAAGACUGACUACUGCGAAAGCAUUUGCCAAGGAUGUUUUCAUUAAUCAAGAACGAAAGUUAGGGGAUCGAAGACGAUCAGAUACCGUCGUAGUCUUAACCAUAAACUAUGCCGACUAGGGAUCGGAUGAUGUUAAUUUUUAAUGACUCAUUCGGCGCCUUACG